ensembl:snRNA U2 U2 spliceosomal RNA
AUCACUUCUCGGCCUUUUGACUAAGAUCAAGUGUAGUAUCUGUUAACUGUUACAAUAAUUUAUAAGCUUCU